AGAGUUUGAUCCUGGCUCAGGAUGAACGCUAGCGGCAGGCUUAACACAUGCAAGUCGAGGGGCAGCAUAAUGGAUAGCAAUAUCUAUGGUGGCGACCGGCGCACGGGUGCGUAACGCGUAUGCAACCUACCUUUAACAGGGGGAUAACACUGAGAAAUUGGUACUAAUACCCCAUAACAUCAUGAGAGGCAUCUUUUAUGGUUGAAAAUUCCGAUGGUUAGAGAUGGGCAUGCGUUGUAUUAGCUAGUUGGUGAGGUAACGGCUCACCAAGGCGACGAUACAUAGGGGGACUGAGAGGUUAACCCCCCACACUGGUACUGAGACACGGACCAGACUCCUACGGGAGGCAGCAGUGAGGAAUAUUGGUCAAUGGACGCAAGUCUGAACCAGCCAUGCCGCGUGCAGGAUGACGGCUCUAUGAGUUGUAAACUGCUUUUGUACGAGGGUAAACGCAGAUACGUGUAUCUGUCUGAAAGUAUCGUACGAAUAAGGAUCGGCUAACUCCGUGCCAGCAGCCGCGGUAAUACGGAGGAUCCAAGCGUUAUCCGGAUUUAUUGGGUUUAAAGGGUGCGUAGGCGGUUUGAUAAGUUAGAGGUGAAAUGUUAGGGCUCAACCCUGAAACUGCCUCUAAUACUGUUGGACUAGAGAGUAGUUGCGGUAGGCGGAAUGUAUGGUGUAGCGGUGAAAUGCUUAGAGAUCAUACAGAACACCGAUUGCGAAGGCAGCUUACCAAACUAUAUCUGACGUUGAGGCACGAAAGCGUGGGGAGCAAACAGGAUUAGAUACCCUGGUAGUCCACGCAGUAAACGAUGAUAACUCGUUGUCGGCGAUACACAGUCGGUGACUAAGCGAAAGCGAUAAGUUAUCCACCUGGGGAGUACGUUCGCAAGAAUGAAACUCAAAGGAAUUGACGGGGGCCCGCACAAGCGGAGGAACAUGUG
rnacentral:rRNA from 1 species